GACGAACGCUGGCGGCGUGCUUAACACAUGCAAGUCGAACGGAAAGGCCCUGCUUUUGUGGGGUGCUCGAGUGGCGAACGGGUGAGUAACACGUGAGUAACCUGCCCUUGACUUUGGGAUAACUUCAGGAAACUGGGGCUAAUACCGGAUAGGAGCUCCUGCUGCAUGGUGGGGGUUGGAAAGUUUCGGCUGUUGGGGAUGGACUCGCGGCUUAUCAGCUUGUUGGUGGGGUAGUGGUUUACCAAGGCUUUGACGGGUAGCCGGCCUGAGAGGGUGACCGGCCACAUUGGGACUGAGAGACGGACCAGACUCCUACGGGAGGCAGCAGUGGGGAAUAUUGCACAAUGGGCGGAAGCCUGAUGCAGCAACGCCGCGUGCGGGAUGACGGCCUGCGGGUUGUAAACCGCUUUCGCCUGUGACGAAGCGUGAGUGACGGUAAUGGGUAAAGAAGCACCGGCUAACUACGUG
rnacentral:rRNA from 1 species